AGAGUUUGAUCCUGGCUCAGAAUGAACGCUGGCGGCAUGGAUUAGGCAUGCAAGUCGAACGGGACGCCUCCGGGCGUCCAGUGGCGAAAGGGUGAGUAACACGUGAGCAACCUGCCCCCGGGUCCGGAAUAAGCGGUGGAAACGCCGUCUAAUGCCGGAUGCCGAGCAAUCGGCCCCUGCCUUUUGCUCGAAAGACUUUUCGCCCGGGGAUGGGCUCGCGCCCCAUUAGCUUGUUGGCGGGGUAAUGGCCCACCAAGGCGACGACGGGUAGGUGGACUGAGAGGUCGGUCACCCACACUGGGACUGAGACACUGCCCAGACUCCUACGGGAGGCUGCAGUCGAGAAUCUUCCGCAAUGGGCGCAAGCCUGACGGAGCAAUGCCGCGUGAGGGAAGAAUGCCUUCGGGUUGUAAACCUCUGUCGCCCGGGACGAACUUUGACGGUACCGGGAGAGGAAGUCACGGCUAACUACGUGCCAGCAGCCGCGGUAACACGUAGGUGGCGAGCGUUAUUCGGAUUUACUGGGCGUAAAGGGUCCGCAGGGGGCCUGGCAAGUCUGCCGUGAAAGGCCGGGGCUCAACCCCGGCACUGCGGUGGAAACAGCCGGGCUGGAGUCAGUGAGGGGCAGACGGAACACCUGGUGUAGCGGUGGAAUGCGUGGAUAUCAGGUGGAACACCUAUGGCGAAGGCGGUCUGCUGGCACAUGACUGACCCUCAUGGACGAAAGCGUGGGUAGCAAACAGGAUUAGAUACCCUGGUAGUCCACGCC
rnacentral:rRNA from 1 species